UACGAAGGAUUCGAGCGUUAUCCGGAUUUAUUGGGUUUAAAGGGUGCGUAGGUGGACUAAUAAGUCAGUGGUGAAAGCCCGGAGCUCAACUCCGGAACUGCCAUUGAUACUGUUAGUCUUGAGUACAGUUGAGGUGGGCGGAAUGUGUCAUGUAGCGGUGAAAUGCUUAGAUAUGACACAGAACACCGAUUGCGAAGGCAGCUAACUGGGACGUUACUGACGCUGAGACGCGAAAGCGUGGGGAGCAAACAGG
rnacentral:rRNA from 1 species